rnacentral:piRNA from 1 species
UGAGAAUCAAAGAUGGACCUUGCUCGGA